AGUUUGAUAUAUUUUACAUCCUUAAGAAUUAUAGCUUUGAAAGAAUUAGUUUUAAAAUAUUUUCCAAAUACAAACUGAUUCAGACAGAUUUAUUGGUAUUGAUCUUUUUCCAUGUUAGUGAAUUUUUACUUUUCAAAGCAUGCUUUCAAGCCUGGAUAAUGGUGCAUGGAAUAAUGGAAUAGGAUCUUGGUUCUAUUUUGUUGGUUUUCGGAGCGCAAGGUAAUGAUUAAGAGGGACAGACGGGGGCAUUCGUACUGUGCCGUCAGAGGUGAAAUUCUUGGAUCGGCGCAAAUUGAACAACUGCGAAAGCAUUUGCCAAGAAUGUUUGUUUUUAAUCAA
rnacentral:ncRNA from 1 species